rnacentral:misc_RNA from 1 species
GAAAUGAAAAUGUCUGGAAAGUCAACAAAAGUGGCUGAGGCAAAACAGAAAGAGGCUUUGACAAGAAAGCAGGAGAAGAAUAGGAACAAGAAAAUGCAGGCUGCUGUGGAGGAGGAGAGUAAGCCAACAGAAUUGCUGCAGAAACCAAGAGACUACAUCGUCAAAUUCCACUUCCCAAACCCAACCCCACUAAAUCCCCCUAUUCUAGGUCUUAAUAGCGUGAAUUUUGCUUAUGGCAAUAACCCCCCUCUGUUUGUGAAUUUGGAUUUUGGUAUAGACAUGAGUUCUAGAGUGGCUAUUGUGGGCCCAAAUGGUGUUGGUAAGUCAACAUUCUUAAAACUUCUCGUAGGGGACUUGGAGCCCCAGACAGGAGAAAUGAUAAAAAAUCACAGAUUGAGAAUUGGAAAGUAUGAUCAGCAUUCUGCUGACCAGCUAAACAUGGACGAAACACCGUGUGAAUAUCUACAAAGACUAUUCAAUAUGCCUUAUCAAGAUUCAAGAAAAAUGCUUGGAAAAUUCGGACUUGCUAGUCACGCCCAUACAAUAAAAAUUCGAGAUCUAUCAGGAGGACAAAAGUCUCGCGUUGCACUUGCAGAUCUGUCGUGUCGGGCAGCUGACGUGUUAAUUCUGGAUGAACCAACCAACAAUUUAGAUAUUGAGUCAAUUGACGCGCUGGCGGAGGCAAUAAAUGAGUUUGAGGGAGGAGUGAUCAUCGUCUCUCACGACGAACGUCUGAUCCGAGAGACAGACUGUCAGCUGUGGGUGGUGGAGAAUCGUUCCAUCAACGAGGUGGACGGAGACUUUGACGAUUACAGGCGAGAACUCUUGGAGUCUCUGGGAGAGGAAGUGGUGAUAGCGCAGCCCAACGAAAUAGACCAGUAAUACAGAUAGAGGGCGCUGUUAUUUAUGUCACAGGGAGCUAAACACCAUUGAUGGUUGUGUUUGCAUUUGAAACAUCUCUGAUCAUAUCUUUAGAUAUCAAAGAGUAAAACUAUCUCCUGAGCUCAGUAUUAAGAUAUUUUGAAAAAUCAUGCGUCGUUUGGUUUAGCUAUGACAAAAUGUUUACAAAAUUUCAGUUGUCAAUUAUGAAAAUUAAAGAAUACUGAACAUAUUUUCUGACUAGUUGACUGUAUGAAGCUUGUGGUUCUUACACAGACAAGUAUAAAGUUAGUCAGAUUUUCUCUUCUCUUUGAAAUACACACAAGAUUUACUCAUUUUCGAACAGCAUGCAUUGUAGAGGAGACCAUUUUCAUAGCAGUUAAAAUUUAUCUUCAUUACGGUAUUAUUUUUCUUUAAAAAAGUUAUUCCACCCUUUCUAAAUGUUUUACUUAAUAAUAAUUUUUUUUCUAUGUAAUUUGAUUGUACAUGUAUUUAAUGUAUGUAUACUGUUUCUUAAUAUCUAAAAAAUAAAUCAUUAUGAUGGGAAAUUAACUUCUUGUUUGAACGUCUACACAAAUGAAUAAUAGAAGUUUGAUUACUACUCUUAGUAUACUUUCUGUAUGUAUUAUUGAUUUAUAUUCUUAAAUCAUUUGAAUGAGAAGUUUUUUUUCAAAAUUAUGUUUUCUUCGUUUAAUGGAACAUACUGUAAAAAUACCCCCCAAAACAUGCAUAUGUUGAGCAAACCUUUAAUAAAAUUCAGUUUGUUCA